UACGAGGGGUCCUAGCGUUGUUCGGAAUCAUUGGGCGUAAAGCGGGUGUAGGCGGAGUUAUAAGUCAGAUGUGAAAGCCCUGGGCUCAACCCAGGAAGUGCAUUUGAAACUGUGGAUCUUGAGUGUGGUAGAGGCUAGUGGAAUUCCUGGUGUAGCGGUGAAAUGCGUAGAUAUCAGGAGGAACAUCGGUGGCGAAGGCGGCUAGCUGGACCAACACUGUCGCUCAGACCCGAAAGCGUGGGGAGCAAGCAGG
rnacentral:misc_RNA from 1 species